UUUCCGUAGGUGAACCUGCGGAAGGAUCAUUAUUGUAUAACCGAGGGGCGAGCGCUGUCGCUGACCCCACAGGUCUGGCACGCCCGAAUGCACUCACACUCAUCCAUCUCACCCCUAUGUGCACCCCCGCGUGGGUCCCCCUUUGGCUUGUUCGGAGGGGGGCUUACGUUUUCACACAAACUUUGUAUGCAGUGUAGAAUGUAUUUUUUGUUUUUGCGCUCACGCAAUCAAUACAACUUUCAACAACGGAUCUCUUGGCUCUC
rnacentral:misc_RNA from 1 species